GUAGUUAGCCGUGGCUUCCUCCUUAGGUACCGUCAUUAUCGUCCCUAAAGACAGAGCUUUACAAUCCGAAGACCGUCAUCACUCACGCGGCGUUGCUGGGUCAGGCUUGCGCCCAUUGCCCAAUAUUCCCCACUGCUGCCUCCCGUAGGAGUCUGGACCGUGUCUCAGUUCCAGUGUGGCCGAUCAGCCUCUCAGCUCGGCUACCCAUCGUUGGCUAGGUGGGCCGUUACCCCGCCUACUACCUAAUGGGACGCGAACCCCUCCUUCUGCGGAUUGCUCCUUUGACCCCUGAGCCAUGCGACUCUGUGGUCUUAUGCGGUAUUAGCACUUGUUUCCAGGUGUUAUCCCCCUCAAAGGGCAGGUUGUUCACGCGUUACUCACCCGUUCGCCACUAGCUAUAAAUCCGAAAACCUAUAGCCCGUUCGACUUGCAUGUGUUAGGCACGCCGCCAGCGUUCGUCCUGAGCCAGAAUCGAACCCUGA
rnacentral:rRNA from 1 species